AUUGGCAGGGUGCAAUGUGGUGUAUGGGAGAGUCUAUUCACGCCUUGAGCUCUGAUGUCCAAGUCCCCCUGACUGGGGCCAUCGCCCGUUGAGGGUGCAAGGCCUGUUGGGCAGGGCUUAGUCUACGAUCUCGGCGUGUGUGGGCUCUUCCCUGGAGUCGGGUUGCUUGAGAGUGCAGCCCAAAGAGGGUGGUAAACUCCACCUAAGGCUAAAUACUUUCCACGAGACCGAUAGCAAACAAGUACCGUGAGGGAAAGUUGCAAAGAACUUUGAAGAGAGAGUUAAAGAGUGCGUGAAACCGUUUGGAGGUAAACGGGUGGGAGCUCGAAGGUCGAACGGACGGGAAGGGAUUCAACUUGGCGCGGUGACAAGCCGGGCUGGUUUCUGCGUGGAUGCCGGAUUCUCGCCUCGCGGCUGAGGAUGCGGUGACCCGGAGCCGCCUGCUGCUGUGCUCGCCGUGCCUUGUGCAUUUCCCUGUUCCCCUCUCCUAGUAGGACGCCGCGACCGGCUGUCGAGGAAAGCCCAGGAGCUGGCGGGAGCAGCUGCGCGGACGAGUGUGAGAUUUGUUCUCUGCGUCUGGUCUGUCUGUCUCCUGCCGCCGUGGGUAGCUUUCUCCGGCCGAGGAGCUGUGCGAGGUUGAUCCCUGCGAUCCCUCGCGCAUGCACGCGCCUCCGAUCUGUCGGUUCGGGUUGACAAAACCCUACGGGUGGCGGUGGGUGAUCUUGCGCCGGUCUGACGACCGUGUCGCAAUUGAUCUUCACACGUCAGCCGCCGUCGGUUGGGGUGUGGACUCCCGUCUAUUAGGCGCUUGGGGUCAGCGGCGAGUAGAUUGGCUUCCCACCCGACCCGUCUUGAAACACGGACCAAGAAGUCUAACGUGUGGGCGAGUCUUCGGGGCGACCGAACCCUUAGAGGCGAAAUGAAAGUGAAGACUCGACCUUUGGUCGGUCUGGGUGUGAUCCUCCGUCUUAUGGCGGGGGCGCAACACCGGCCCGUCCGA
rnacentral:rRNA from 1 species